rnacentral:rRNA from 1 species
UGGGGAAUAUUGCACAAUGGGCGCAAGCCUGAUGCAGCCAUGCCGCGUGUAUGAAGAUGGCCUUCGGGUUGUAAAGUACUUUCAGCGGGGAGGAAGGCGAUAAGGUUAAUAACCUUGUCGAUUGACGUUACCCGCAGAAGAAGCACCGGCUAACUCCGUGCCAGCAGCCGCGGUAAUACGGAGGGUGCAAGCGUUAAUCGGAAUUACUGGGCGUAAAGCGCACGCAGGCGGUCUGUCAAGUCGGAUGUGAAAUCCCCGGGCUCAACCUGGGAACUGCAUUCGAAACUGGCAGGCUAGAGUCUUGUAGAGGGGGGUAGAAUUCCAGGUGUAGCGGUGAAAUGCGUAGAGAUCUGGAGGAAUACCGGUGGCGAAGGCGGCCCCCUGGACAAAGACUGACGCUCAGGUGCGAAAGCGUGGGGAGCAAACA